rnacentral:rRNA from 1 species
AGCAGUCGCCGCGGUAAUACAGAGGGUGCGAGCGUUAAUCGGAUUUACUGGGCGUAAAGCGUGUGUAGGUUGUUGUUCAAGUCAGUUGUGAAAUCCCUGGGCUCAACCUGGGAACUGCCUUUGUGACUGCAAGGCUAGAGUACGGCAGAGGGGGAUGGAAUUCCGCGUGUAGCAGUGAAAUGCGUAGAUAUGCGGAGGAACACCGAUGGCGAAGGCAAUCCCCUGGGCCUGUACUGACGCUCAUGCACGAAAGCGUGGGGAGCAAACAGGAUUAGAUACCCCAGUAGUCCCUGUCUCUUAUAC